rnacentral:rRNA from 1 species
GGGCCCGCACAAGCGGUGGAGUAUGUGGUUUAAUUCGAUGCAACGCGAAGAACCUUACCAGGGUUUGACAUCCUGCGAAUCUCUUGGAAACAGGAGAGUGCCUUCGGGAACGCAGUGACAGGUGGUGCAUGGCUGUCGUCAGCUCGUGUCGUGAGAUGUUGGGUUAAGUCCCGCAACGAGCGCAACCCUUAUUUUUAGUUGCCUUAUGGAACUCUAGAAAGACUGCCGGUUAUAAACCGGAGGAAGGCGGGGAUGACGUCAAGUCAGCAUGCCCCUUACACCCUGGGCUACACACGUACUACAAUGCUACGGACAAAGGGCAGCAAGUUCGCGAGGACAAGCAAAUCCCAUAAACCGUGGCUCAGUUCAGAUCGUAGGCUGCAACUCGCCUACGUGAAGGAGGAAUCGCUAGUAAUCG